rnacentral:rRNA from 1 species
GACGAACGCUGGCGGCGUGCCUAAUACAUGCAAGUAGAACGCUGAAGGGAGAGCUUGCUCUUCUGGAUGAGUUGCGAACGGGUGAGUAACGCGUAGGUAACCUGCCUGGUAGCGGGGGAUAACUAUUGGAAACGAUAGCUAAUACCGCAUAACAUUGACUAUUGCAUGAUAGUCAAUUGAAAGGUGCAAAUGCACCACUACCAGAUGGACCUGCGUUGUAUUAGCUAGUUGGUGGGGUAACGGCUCACCAAGGCGACGAUACAUAGCCGACCUGAGAGGGUGAUCGGCCACACUGGGACUGAGACACGGCCCAGACUCCUACGGGAGGCAGCAGUAGGGAAUCUUCGGCAAUGGACGGAAGUCUGACCGAGCAACGCCGCGUGAGUGAAGAAGGUUUUCGGAUCGUAAAGCUCUGUUGUAAGAGAAGAACGAGUGUGAG